UACGUAGGGUGCGAGCGUUAAUCGGAAUUACUGGGCGUAAAGCGUGCGCAGGCGGUUCGCUGUGUCCGAUGUGAAAGCCCCGGGCUCAACCUGGGAAUGGCGAUGGAUACUGGCUCGCUAGAGUGCGGUAGAGGAGAGUGGAAUUCCCGGUGUAGCAGUGAAAUGCGUAGAGAUCGGGAGGAACAUCAGUUGCGAAGGCGGCUCUCUGGACCAGCACUGACACUGAGGCACGAAAGCGUGGGGAGCAAACAGG
rnacentral:rRNA from 1 species